rnacentral:rRNA from 1 species
GACGAACGCUGGCGGCGUGCUUAACACAUGCAAGUCGAACGGAAAGGCCCUGCUUUUGUGGGGUGCUCGAGUGGCGAACGGGUGAGUAGCACGUGAGUAACCUGCCCUUGACUUUGGGAUAACUUCAGGAAACUGGGGCUAAUACCGGAUAGGAGCUCCUGCUGCAUGGUGGGGGUUGGAAAGUUUCGGCGGUUGGGGAUGGACUCGCGGCUUAUCAGCUUGUUGGUGGGGUAGUGGCUUACCAAGGCUUUGACGGGUAGCCGGCCUGAGAGGGUGACCGGCCACAUUGGGACUGAGAUACGGCCCAGACUCCUACGGGAGGCAGCAGUGGGGAAUAUUGCACAAUGGGCGGAAGCCUGAUGCAGCAACGCCGCGUGCGGGAUGACGGCCUUCGGGUUGUAAACCGCUUUCGCCUGUGACGAAGCGUGAGUGACGGUAAUGGGUAAAGAAGCACCGGCUAACUACGUG